rnacentral:rRNA from 1 species
GCAGAGCACUCCCUACGGAGGCAGCAGUGGGGAAUAUUGCACAAUGGGCGCAAGCCUGAUGCAGCCAUGCCGCGUGUAUGAAGAAGGCCUUCGGGUUGUAAAGUACUUUCAGCAGUGAGGAAGGUGGGUAUGUUAAUAGCAUACUCAUUUGACGUUAGCUGCAGAAGAAGCACCGGCUAACUCCGUGCCAGCAGCCGCGGUAAUACGGAGGGUGCGAGCGUUAAUCGGAAUUACUGGGCGUAAAGCGCAUGCAGGUGGUUUGUUAAGUCAGAUGUGAAAGCCCGGGGCUCAACCUCGGAAUUGCAUUUGAAACUGGCAAACUAGAGUACUGUAGAGGGGGUAGAAUUUCAGGUGUAGCGGUGAAAUGCGUAGAGAUCUGAAGGAAUACCGGUGGCGAAGGCGGCCCCCUGGACAGAUACUGACACUCAGAUGCGAAAGCGUGGGGAGCAAACAGGAUUAUAUACCCUGGUAG